rnacentral:rRNA from 1 species
GACGAACGCUGGCGGCGUGCCUAAUACAUGCCAGUAGAACGCUGAAGGAGGAGCUUGCUCUUCUGGAUGAGUUGCGAACGGGUGAGUAACGCGUAGGUAACCUGCCUGGUAGCGGGGGAUAACUAUUGGAAACGAUAGCUAAUACCGCAUAACAGUAGAUGUUGCAUGACAUUUGCUUAAAAGGUGCAAUUGCACCACUACCAGAUGGACCUGCUGUGUAUUAGCUAGUUGGUGGGGUAACGGCUCACCAAGGCAACGAUACAUAGCCGACCUGGGAGGGUGAUCGGCCAACAUGGGAAUGAGACCAGGCCCAGACCCCUAAGGGAGGCAGCCGUAGGGAAUCUUCGGCAAUGGACGGAAGUCUGACCGAGCAACGCCGCGUGAGUGAAGAAGGUUUUCGGAUCGUAAAGCUCUGUUGUAAGAGAAGAACGAGUGUGAGAGUGGAAAGUUCACACUGUGACGGUAUCUUACCAGAAAGGGACGGCUAACUACGUG